rnacentral:rRNA from 1 species
UUUUGGACAAUGGGCGCAAGCCUGAUCCAGCCAUGCCGCGUGAGUGAAGAAGGCCUUCGGGUUGUAAAGCUCUUUCGGUGAAGCCGAAACGGUUAGUGCUAAUAACACUGACUAAUGACGGUACUCACAGAAGAAGCACCGGCUAACUACGUGCCAGCAGCCGCGGUAAUACGUAGGGUGCAGGCGUUAAUCGGAAUUACUGGGCGUAAAGCGUGCGCAGGCGGUUUGCUAAGACAGGUGUGAAAUCCCCGGGCUUAACCUGGGAAUUGCGCUUGUAACUGGCAAGCUAGAGUGUGGCAGAGGGGGGUGGAAUUCCACGUGUAGCAGUGAAAUGCGUAGAUAUGGGAGGAACACCGAUGGCGAAGGCAGCCCCCUGGGUUAACAUUGACGCUCAUGCACGAAA